rnacentral:rRNA from 1 species
AGAGUUUGAUCAUGGCUCAGAUUGAACGCUGGCGGAAUGCCUUACACAUGCAAGUCGAACGGCAGCACGGACUUCAGUCUGGUGGCGAGUGGCGAACGGGUGAGUAAUAUAUCGGAACAUGCCCAGUCGUGGGGGAUAACUAUCCGAAAGGAUAGCUAAUACCGCAUACGAUCUGUGGAUGAAAGCGGGGGAUCUUCAGACCUUGCGCGAUUGGAAUGGCCGAUAUCUGAUUAGCUAGUUGGUGGGGUAAAAGCCUACCAAGGCGACAAUUGAAGCUGGUCUGAGAGGAGACCCAGCCACACUGGAACUGAAACACGGUCCGAACUCCUACGGGAGGCGCAUGGGGGAAUUUUGAACAAGGGGGGCAACCCUAAUCCACCAUUGCCCCUUGAGUAAAAAAGGCCUUCGGGUUGUAAAUGUCUUUUGUCAGGGAAAAAACGGAUUUCUCUAUUAUAGGAUUCUAAUGAUGGUACCUGAUAAAUAACCCCCGGCUAACUACUUGCCAGCACCCGCGGUAAUACUUAGGGGGCAAGCGUUUAAUCGGAAUUACUGGGCGUAAAGCGGGCGCAGGCGGUUUUGUAAAUCUGAUGUAAAAUCCCCGGGCUCAACCUGGAAAUUGCUUUGGGAACUGCAAGGCUAAAUUGUGUCAAAGGGGAUUAAAAUUCCACGUGUACAAGUAAAAUGCGUGAAGAUGUGGAGGACUACCGAUGGCAAAGGCAUCCCCCUAGGAUAACACUGAGGCUCAUGCCCGAAA